CAAGAAAUUGUAAUCACAUAUUGCUGAUAUCAUGAUAUAUCAUGAUGAUAUCGUAUAAUGCUGACACGAAGAUCAAACAUGUGAAGCUGUACACAUUAACAAUAUAGAAUUUUCAAUGUAUUAAUAACUCUAAAAAAUCCAGAAGUUUUAUUAAAUAAAUCCAAAGUUUUAAAUGCACUGCCAUUCGGUUACGGUUUGACGAAACGUCGAUACCAGUAUCGUGAAUAUUAUCUACUGUAAACAUUAGCAUUAAAAACAUUUUAUGUUGUUGUUAAAACAUAAUAGACAUAAUAAUUUUAUAAUUGCAGUCGUUAUUUGCAUAGUUGAAGCUAUCCAUAUGACUUACUGCAAAAAGCGAUAUUUUCGUUAUCGAUUUGUCACAGUGCAAAUUCCAAAUGUAGAACUAUGUACUUGUUAUUUACAGAAUUAAACCUAUGGUUCACUUUGCCGUCCCACAUAUAAAAAAUUGAAAAUCGAUUAGAUAUCGAUAUGAUAAGGAACGCAAAAGUGGACUGGGAAGUGAUUACUUGUCACACUGUUCGUACGCGCCUGACAUUUACGUAAUAGAUCAGGCUUAUGACGCAAUCUGCAACGACUAACGAUGAUUCGCUAUUCCGGGCUUACAGCUGCAGUUGCAAUUAGAAGCUUAAAAGAGUUCAUGGUACCACGUAUCUCGAUUAUGUAUGGAUAAAUGACAGCGUGCAUGUUCUCUAACGUUUCCCUGUUACACGCUUGCUAUUGCGACCUUCGUGUUAACGCGAUAAGAAUGUUGAAACUUGUACAAUGUUUCGGAAGUGUUACGAGAAAACUCUAAGAUCAUUCGAAUGAUUUGAAAGAAUUAUCUCUCCUCAAAAUAGCAGUGACAUCCGUCAAAGUGAAGAUGAUUUACGGAAAUAAAGAUAUAGUAGCAACAGAUACGCUCAAUUGGAAAAAGGAACUUAUCAGCUUUAACUACUUCUUUGAUAUAUGUACAUAUUCGGAAAAAUACUCAGAAGAAAUACGAGCAAACGAUUAUCGCGUUCUGCGUAUCGUAUGUACCUUAAUCGUAAAAAUAUUUUUCCAAGUGCACCGACUGUGACAGUUCUACGAUACGUGGGGGUCAAACGAACGCGUACGAAAGAUCAAUGUUUGGUAGACUAACUAUGUUCGACUUACCUCGACAAUUGAUCAAUCUCUACUAGCACAACCGACGUAACGCGCGCUGCUCACGAAGAGUAUUUAUAGAGAUGGACAUUGAACAUUAACCAAAACGACAUUUCAACGUUUGAACCAUCGGUUCACAAUGCAAAACUCGACGCGUAUUUUCAAAGGCGCCACGGUGAAUUCUCUAAAAAAAGAUAUUUAUAAUAAGAUGCCGCAUAUACCUAAUAGAUGAAUCACGACUCUCUGCAGUAUUAAAAGCCUUCAUUCGUUGUUAGGUAUUUUCUCGUGGAAUUUCAACCCGUUCGGUACGCCGCAAUGGCUAUCCGACUUCGUUUGUCCUUCGCUCGCGACGCGAAUAAAUUCGUUGGAUCGCGGAACAACAGGUAGAGGCUCGUUAAAAUGUACAUCGUAGCUGAUGGUUUUAUUAAAUUAGCGACGAACGGUUUCUUCGUCGAUUCGAUUUAAAAGCAGAGGCUACAACACACGCUGGCCGCAGUCGCGAGGCAAAGUAAAGCACGCGAAGGCAGAGACGACUCGAUUCCCUUGAUCCAACGGCACAGCGUUCUCUGUGUCACGUGCUUCUGUAUUUUACUUUUUCCCGCUUUUUCGGCUUUCUCGCUCGACCGUAUUACGUUGUAACGGCACUUUAGUUAAUUACCUUGGAGCACCAAUGGAACCAACCCUCCACUGUACGCCCACUCUUUAUGCAUAUCCCUCUCUACUUCGUUUCUCCUUCGAGUGGUUUUCGAUACUCUUCACUUUGUACUGUCCCCGAUAAUUCCACUCCGUGAAGCACGAUUCCAGACAGGUAAAUACGAAAUACGAGAAAAGAAAAAUAUAUGUAUAUAAAUAUAAACUACAUAUAUGUAUAAAAAUAUA